AGUCCCCGGGAGAAGAAGCGGAGGAGGGAGAGAGCCAGCGAGGCGGCCCAGGGGAGCGGGCGCGAGUGGCGGCUGCCGGAGCCGCCUGUGCACGGGCGGCGGCGAGGCGAGGGUGGCGGUCGCCUGAGCAGCUAGAGCCGGGGCGGCGCGGAAUCCGCAUCCGCCGCGAGUGUGAUGAAGCUACCCUGCCUCGCUGCUCCGCUUGCCGCCAGCUGACACCGCCUGCACCCAGCCCGCCCGGGAGGGGAGACGCCGCGGGGCCGUGACCUUGGCGGAGGAGGGGAAAUCUCUCACGUCCAAGAGGUUAACAAGCCUUGCUCAGUCUUACUAAACGGAUCAUCUUGUAGCAUGAAUGCAGACUGGAGUCACUGCACACACUUUGUAGCUCAAUGUUGUGACCUGGAGCAGAGGACAUUAGAACAAGAUGUUGCAUGAGCAAAGGACCUAAAUUGUUAUUUUUGUGUGUACAUUCCAUCUCCAAUGGACUCUUCCGUCUCAAUGCCUCCAUUCCAAACUGUUGUCUGCUUUCUUUCUCCUUCUACUAUGCUGGAUCUGUGUCUCUUCCUUUUUAACAAGUUCAAGUGAAGUAAAACCUUUUCUUUUUUUCCUUCUUUCUCUCUCUCUCUCUCUCAAAGCUUCAGUUAGACACACAGUUCACUGAAAAUUCAGUCAGUCAAAAACUGGAAGAACUGUAAAAGAAAAAAGUAUAUAUCAAUAAGUAUACAUGUGGCUUCACAUUUAUUAAACAAUAAAUUCCGCACAGAAAGUUUCAUUUCACCAAUGUGUCACAGUCAGAAACAAACUCAUGUCUUCGUCUGUUGUCUGUACAUUCUCCGUUAAUGUUUCUCGCAUUUAUUUUUAUACCAUAUUUAAAGAAGAAACACCUUUUACUCCAAAUGUAUUAAAGUUGAUCCCUUCUCUGUAAAUUUGUGUAUGUUUAUAUUGUUGUUUUAUCUUUCAUUAAAAGAUGCAGAAUC
rnacentral:lncRNA from 1 species